ensembl:lncRNA LINC00398 long intergenic non-protein coding RNA 398
GGAAAGGCGCCUGGGCUGGUGACGGUGUCAAGUGUAGGCAAGAAAUACGGCUGAUCAAGAAGCGACUUCACCUCCCUCGCACAACACUGAGUCCCUUUGCGGCAGGGGCCCUCCCCGCCGCGAACCCUACUUGGAACCUUGCGCCAUGCGAUGUCUCUCUCAUUCUAGGCCACGGAAGCCCUGGGUCACCCUUUCAGCCUGGUUCUCUCCGGUGGUGCUGGCUUGUUUCUCCUGUCUGUUGGGGUCAGCUGCGUCCAGCCUCGGCUCCUGCAGGAUUGCCCGGGCAACCCAGAGGAGAUGGGCGGGCGUGGAGGUCCUCCCUGGAUGACCCUUCCCACCAUUUCAACAUCAUUAGGAAUUUAACAGGCUUUUGCAAGAAGGCCCAGAGAUGGGAUUUCACCGUGUUGCUCAGGCUGGUCUUGAACUCGUAGGCUCAAGUGAUUGGACCUCCUCGGUCUCCCAAACCGCUGGGAUUACAGGCAUGCAUCACCAUGCCCAGCUUCCUAAGUCUCUUUUAAUCUCUUGACAGCCCACAGUUCUUUUCAGCACUGAAAAAUAUUUCAUUGUAUGGAUGUGCCACAGUUUGUUCAUCAGUUCACUGAGUGAAGAACAUCUCGAUUAGUUCCAGUUUUCGGCAACUAUGAAUAAAACCUCUAUAAACAUUUAUAUGCAGAUUUCUACGUGGACAUAAGUUUUCAGCUUAAAUAGAGGAGUUUGAAAUUCUUGCUUCAGGCCAUAUGGAGUGGAUAUUCCUUCCAGAAGGAAAUUACAGACCACUCUCUGUUUCUACUCAACUGCUUUUCACUCCGUAAGUGGACUCUUUGAAGCAGCCUUUUAUUUACCUCAGAUUCUGACAUGAAUAAUUGUUUAAUUGCCUUUCAGCCUACACAAGAUAAGGAACCAUGUCUCAAAAAUUGUAUAAUUCUCUUAACUAAACAAUAGCCAAGCCAUCCGGAGUAGUUUUCAAAGGAAAAAAGAA